AGAGUUUAAUCCUGGCUCAGAACGAACGCUAGCGGCGUGCUUAAUACAUGCAAGUCGAACGCGAAAGCAUCCUUCGGGGUGUGAUUAGAGUGGCGCACGGGUGAGUAACGCGUGGGUAACCUGCCUGCAGGAGGGGGAUAACCCCGGGAAACCGGGGCUAAUACCGCGUAAUAUCUGCUAAUUAAUUUGGCAGAUCAAAGGUGACUUCGGUUGCCGCCAGCAGAUGGGCCCGCGUUCUAUUAGCUUGUUGGUAGGGUAAUGGCCUACCAAGGCAGCGAUGGAUAGCCGGCUUGAGAGGGUGAACGGCCACACUGGAACUGAGACACGGUCCAGACUCCUACGGGAGGCAGCAGUAGGGAAUUUUGCGCAAUGGGCGAAAGCCUGACGCAGCAACGCCGCGUGAGGGAUGAAGGUCUUCGGAUUGUAAACCUCUGUCAAGAUGGGAAUAAUUAGUUGGGUAUUAAUAGUAUCUGGCUUUGACUGUACCAUCUAAGGAAGCCCCGGCUAACUUCGUGCCAGCAGCCGCGGUAAUACGAAGGGGGCAAGCGUUGUUCGGAUUCAUUGGGCGUAAAGCGCGGGUAGGUGGUUUUGUAAGUCGGAUGUGAAAUCCUCAGGGCUCAACCCGAGGCCUGCAUUCGAAACUACAUUACUUGAGUACGGGAGAGGGAAGUGGAAUUCCUGGUGUAGCGGUGAAAUGCGUAGAUAUCAGGAGGAACACCGGUGGCGAAGGCGGCUUCUUGGCCCGUAACUGACACUGAACCGCGAAAGCUAGGGGAGCGAACGGGAUUAGAUACCCCGGUAGUCCUAGCCGUAAACGAUGGGCACUAGGUGUAGGGGGUAUCGAUCCCCCCUGUGCCGUAGCUGACGCAUUAAGUGCCCCGCCUGGGGAGUACGAUCGCAAGGUUGAAACUCAAAGGAAUUGACGGGGGCCCGCACAAGCGGUGGAGCAUGUGGUUUAAUUCGAUUCAACGCGAGGAACCUUACCUGGGUUUGACAUGCAGUGGACAGCUUCCGAAAGGAAGUCUUCCGCGAGGACCGCUGCACAGGUGCUGCAUGGCUGUCGUCAGCUCGUGUCGUGAGAUGUUGGGUUAAGUCCCGCAACGAGCGCAACCCCUGUCCGCUGUUGCCAACGGUUCGGCCGUGCACUCUGCGGAGACCGCCGGUGUAAACCGGAGGAAGGUGGGGAUGACGUCAAGUCCUCAUGGCCUUUAUGCCCAGGGCUACACACGUGCUACAAUGGUCGGUACAAAGGGGAGCAAGACCGCGAGGUGGAGCAAAUCCCAAAAAACCGGCCCCAGUUCGGAUUGGAGUCUGCAACUCGACUCCAUGAAGCAGGAAUCGCUAGUAAUCCCGUAUCAGCUACGACGGGGUGAAUACGUUCCCGGGCCUUGUACACACCGCCCGUCACAUGACCCGAGUCGGGUGCACCC
rnacentral:rRNA from 1 species